ensembl:lncRNA
AUAUCUGAAUUCCUCGAUCUUUAUGCAACUUUGCCAUUUUACUUCUGAUAAUGGGAGAACAAUUGAAAGACAUUGCUGUAGUUCUUCUCAUGUUUGUCUGUUUGCUUGUCUCUUGCUGCUAGAAUUGCAAUCAGUAUUCCAAGAUCUGCAGCUUCAGGAAAAAUGUCAGCUGGAUUUCACAGAUGCAGUGUUUGUGGGUGUACAUGAUGCUGUGCCUCCAAGGGGGUUUUCCAUGCCAACGGAACUGAUGUGGCUGUCAUCCAGGUUCCAUUCGAAGACCCCAUUGUUCCAAGAACUCCUUCAAAAGGCACCUGCACAGAGGGCAUCAGCUUUCAGCGGGGCAUCCAACCGUUCAACUACAUGUGGGAGGUUGGUGUCGGACCUGACCUGGCUAUGCAUCCUAGGUACAUUAUGCUCUAUGAAAACCAGUGACCAUGGACGUUUCUCUCCACCACCAGAUACAUCUGAGGAUAUGACAUUGUACCAAACUGGCUCGUUUGAAAUCCUAUAGAGGUCAGCCAAGACGCUGGAAGUUCAGCAUGCCUCUACCAAACGCUGCCUCGUCACAACUACUGAGCUGAUCUGCGAGACUAGUGUCUUCCACAGAAGGGGUGAAGACUGACAACAAACUUGACUCUGGCCAUCAUUGGUGCAGAACCUCCCUCCUGGACUCCACCUGCAGGCCCCAAGAGACUGUUGACACCCACCAGGGUUCUAACUUUGGACUCUACACCUGUAAAUCAAAGUCAUGGCAGGGUUCAAAGUAUCUAGGCUAGUAGUGGCUUUGUCCCAUAGUAUCUUUAGAUUAAAUUGAUUGGCAAUCCUUUCAGAUGGACUACCAGUGGUGAAUGGGAUCGUGUUCUACAAGCAAUAUUCACCCGAAGACAGGCUUGUCAUCAGACAUCUUAUAGGUAUGGCUCUACAUUUCGUAACGCCUCUGCGUAACGUGCACACUAUCGGAUUUGUCAAAAGAAACAUUGGAUAUCUGGUCCUAAAGGGGCUGCGCUACUAAGCAGUGUCCCACUCAACCCAUUGUAUGCUGAUGGGAUAUUUAAUUUACUUUCUGAAUGACAAAAUGUAAUGUGACUAACUGGUUAAUGAGUGCUUUUGACUAGAACAAUCUUAAUGUGCUUUUGAAGUUUGGACUUUCAAUCUCAGGAUCUUUGAGGGAGACUCAGUCACACACUCGCUGACCAGGUUCCAAUAAACUGAGUCUUCAGUAAACAGCUGGGUUCCAAAUGACCUGAUGGAAUUACCUUUUUCUUCAGUUUAGCUUUGCCAGAGGCUAGACUCCCAUUGUGAUUCCUCGGACUCUGACGAUGACAGAGACUACAAAGUAUCCUGUUACAACAAUCUACUAAAUGAAUUUGGGUCCCCUGGCCACACCCAGCAAUUUAAACUAGCAUUGAAUCAAUACUUUCAUGUUAUUACUCUAUUUAAAAUGAAUAAAUUGUUGGCUCUUGUAGACUUCCUCCAGUAUCUUUGUUUUUAAGCUUGAUAUAUUGCUCUUAACUGCAGACUUCAAGGAGGGUGUCUGAUGGACUUAGUGAUGUGCAAAUUCCAUGUUUUGUGCAGCUGUAUAAAGAUAACAGUGGGACUGCCUGUGUAAACGCAGCCAAUUAUUUUUCCAGUAGUUGAUUGUCUCCAAUAGGGUAAAAGAUAAUGACUGCCUGUGUAAAUGCAGCCUUUGCUCAGGGGUAUACAACUCAUACCCUACAAGGUCCAGCGCCUGCUGGUUUUGCUCUGCUAAUGACCUUGUGUUCCAGGUCUAAAAUCGGUCCCAAAAAUUCCAGUCCUGAAUUUGCAUCCAGGAAUGUGUUUACUUGUGGUGAGC